rnacentral:rRNA from 1 species
UACAGAGGGUGCGAGCGUUGUUCGGAAUUAUUGGGCGUAAAGGGCGCGUAGGCGGUGCGGUAAGUCACCUGUGAAAUCUCCUGGCUCAACUGGGAGCUUGCAGGCGAAACUGCCGUGCUGGAGUGUGGGAGAGGUGCGUGGAAUUCCUGGUGUAGCGGUGAAAUGCGUAGAUAUCGGGAGGAACACCUGUGGCGAAAGCGGCGCACUGGACCAACACUGACGCUGAGGAGCGAAAGCCCAGGGGGAGCAAAACGGGGA